UUAAGUUCAGCGGGUAGUCCUACCUGAUUUGAGGUCAAAUUUAUCAACAUUUGUUUUGUUAGAAGCAGUGUAAUCUGUUCAUGUGGCAUACCAAAGGCAUAGAUAGUUAUCACACCCACAGUAGUAGCCUCAGAUACCACUAAUUCAUUUCAGGGGAGCUGACCUUCUACAAGAAAGCCUGCAAAAACAACCCCCACAUC
rnacentral:misc_RNA from 1 species